rnacentral:rRNA from 1 species
GUCCAGACUCCUACGGGAGGCAGCAGUGGGGAAUAUUGCACAAUGGGGGAAACCCUGAUGCAGCGACGCCGCGUGAGUGAAGAAGUAUUUCGGUAUGUAAAGCUCUAUCAGCAGGGAAGAAAAUGACGGUACCUGACUAAGAAGCCCCGGCUAACUACGUGCCAGCAGCCGCGGUAAUACGUAGGGGGCAAGCGUUAUCCGGAUUUACUGGGUGUAAAGGGAGCGUAGACGGCAUGGCAAGUCAGAUGUGAAAGCCCGGGGCUCAACCCCGGGACUGCAUUUGAAACUGUCAGGCUGGAGUGCAGGGGAGGUAAGUGGAAUUCCUAGUGUAGCGGUGAAAUGCGUAGAUAUUAGGAGGAACACCAGUGGCGAAGGCGGCUUACUGGACUGUAACUGACGUUGAGGCUCGAAAGCGUGGGGAGCAAACAGGAUUAGGUACCCCAGUACGC